UACAGAGGUGGCAAGCGUUGUUCGGAAUUACUGGGCGUAAAGGGCGCGUAGGCGGCCUUGUAAGUCCUGUGUGAAAUCCCCCGGCUCAACUGGGGAACUGCACAGGAGACUGCUUGGCUUGAGUUCGGGAGAGGGAAGCGGAAUUCCGGGUGUAGCGGUGAAAUGCGUAGAUAUCGAGAGGAACACCUGCGGCGAAGGCGGGUUGCUGGGCUGACACGUGACGCUGAGGCGCGAAAGCUAGGGGAGCGAACGGG
rnacentral:rRNA from 1 species